rnacentral:piRNA from 1 species
UAUGGCUGGCUGAUUUACCACAUGGU